UUUAGAAAUUACAUGAUUACUUCACCGGAUGUAUCCACUUGAACAUAGAUAAGAAAUUGAUAUAAAUAGACAUUCUCAGGUAGCAACAGAAACAUUGUGAAGUGUGUGUUACCACUGACAAGUUAGUCAAAUAUGGCUGACCUGGUGGUCAAUACAUCAAGAGAUGGAAGUCAAAACUUAUAAAUAUCAUUAUAAAAUUGAAUUUCUAAAAUUCCUAUAUUACAUAACUCACUAAGCAAACAUCAGCAAUGUUUCCAGAUGUCCCCUAAUCCAUGCCAACAUCAAUGCUGUGUUGCCAAAUUGAUGAAUAAUGUCGACAACAGUUUUCAUCUUCAAUAGUUCUUAUACUACUUCCAGAUGACAAACACGUGAUGCCCAUAUCAAUGCUGUGUUGUCAUCUUUAUCAACUAUAUUCACAUCUGCUUUAUUCAUCAAAAGUUCUUGAACUAUUUCCAGAUGUCCCUGUUGUAAUGCCAAUAUCAACAGGGUGUUACCAUCUUUAUUAACUACAUUCACAUCUGCAUUAUUCUUCAAAAGUUCUUGUACUAUUUCCUGACGUUCAUUGAUCGAUGCCAAUAUCAAUGCUGUGUUGUCAUCUUUAUCAGCAAUAUUCACAUCUGCUUUAUUUUUCAGCAGUUCUUUUACUAUUAAAAGAUGGAUCUAAGACGAUGCCAAAAUCAACGGUGUGGCGCCAGUUUAAUUUAUUGCAUCGCCAUUGAAUCCAUCUUUUAAUAGAGAUUGAACUGUUUGAAGACUUCCAUCUCUUGAUGUAUUGGAUAGUUGAUUGGGUCAGCCAUAUUUGACCAAAGCAAAGUCUUGAAACAAAUAUUAAAUAGUUUAAUACGUGUUUUACUUUGUUAAUAAUAAGUAUCUAAUCAGAUUUUUUGGUAAAUAACUCACCUGAGUCGUCAGUGGUAAUACACACUUCACAAUGUUUCUGUUGCUACCUGAGAGUGUCUAUUUAUAUCAAUUUGUUAUCUAUGUUCAAGUGGAUACAUCCGUUGAUAAUAAUGUACUUGAUUCUUGUAAUAUUUUAAUGUAUUUUGAAACAUGUUUCUAAAAUGUGAAAGAUCAACUGUAAUAACAAAUUAAAACAAUUUCUUAACCUAAAA